UUGGGCUGGGUUGAGCUCCACUUGGCCCUGGCUCAGUCAGCCACAACCAGAGAGGAGAAGGGCUUCCUGUCUGCGUGCCUCCAGGGCUGGCGGGGGGUCCAGACCACAUCGGGCUUCAGGACGGGAAUUCACUAGCCCUUAAGGGGGCCUCUGAGGGGGGAUCCAUCUGUGGGCCGUGGGCAGAAGGGCGAGACCCUGGCCCUGGGCACUGGCUUCACUGGGGCCUCAGAAAACCCCCCACGCCUCAGCUUGGGGCCUGGGCACUGGUUUCUGCCAGUGUCUGGAAAACAAGGGGACCCCCAGAGCUCCAAGCCUGUUGGGGGUGGGGAAAGUCUUUUCUAGCACUCUGUCCUGGUCCUGCUGCUCCACCUCUGAAAAGGCUGGCUUAUCUUCUAGAUACCCAAAGAGCUUGCCUGCCUCUGCUUCCUGGAGCAGACUGCCAGACCUGGGAUGCUCACCACUGCACACAGCACAGGGCGAGUGCUCAGAAGCGUUUGCAGGAACCAAUGAAGAAGCGAGUUAGUGGUGAAACAGAAUCUUCCUGUUUAGUUCAGAUUGGCCUUGAACUCACUAUGUGGUCUUGAACUUGCGGCGAUCCACCUGCCUCAGCCUCCCAAUAAUUGGAAUUAUCGAUGCAUCACCACGCCUAGUUUGGAGCCUGUUGAUUGAAAAAGAGCUCAUC